rnacentral:rRNA from 1 species
AACGUAGGAGCCAAGCGUUAUCCGAAUUCACUGGGCGUAAAGCGCGUGCAGGCGGCCUGAUAAGUUGGAUGUGAAAUCUCCUGGCUCAACUGGGAGAGGCCGUUCAAGACUGUCGGGCUCGAGGGCGACAGAGGGAGGUGGAAUUCCGGGUGUAGUGGUGAAAUGCGUAGAUAUCCGGAGGAACACCAGAGGCGAAGGCGACCUCCUGGGUCGUACCUGACGCUGAGAUGCGAAAGCUAGGGGAGCAAACGGG